CAAUCGCUGCGAUUUGUUACGUUACAAUCGAUCACAAUCGUUUACAAUUCGCUGUCUUCCGCUCGAAGUUACGUCAUUAGUUUCGCGUUACGUCAUAGUUGAUCCGCAUGCGACGGUCUUGCGCGUUCGUUUCGCGAUGUUUUUUUCAUGGGGCCCCAUGCGCGUUUUGCGAUUCUGCCAGGCACAUUACUUGUUUAUUCUAAUUAUAUUUGCGUUAUGAGCGCGAAGCAAGAAGAUCAAGGAAUCGGUAAAGUAUAAAUCACGAUUUGCAUUAUUACGUACAUAAGCUCUUUUUCUAGAAACUUCAACUGUGACGUCACGAAGUGGUGGUGACGUAACAAAAGAACUCACUUCAACCUGGUAUGUGACGUCACAGAGGAUCAAGCGAGCUGUGGCACGAAGAAAAAAUUAAGAAGAGUUCGAAUAAAGCUCCAGUGGAAAGGCGCAAGACGAAAAACAAAGACGAAGGCGCUGAUAAUGGAUACACGGUUUGAGAGUUAUAUGCAUGAAUUGUGGGUUACUUGUAUGUGUGUAUGUGUGUCUUGUCUGCGCUGCUGUAUUCCUAUUCUGCUGGGUCUAAUGUUGCCGGCUAUUUUUAGUCAGUCACUACUAUAGUGCAUUUUGCAUGUCACUGAAAUAUAUGCAAUGAAACUAUAGAGAACAUCUUGCUGGAUCGGAUUUUGUUGUUAUACAAAUCUUUAAGCGAUUUCGUAAUUUUCUGAUCGCUUGGUAAGAACGCUAUGUUGGUACACAAUUACUCGAGUAAUAUUAACACGCAGUAUAAUAUGCGCAUAAAUAAGAUAGUAGCCUUUUUAAAAUAAUUUAAUAUAAAUUUCCCCACGUCUAAUUUAUAUAUUAAAACGUCAUGUAGCGCGAUUGGGACGAUGGCCACGUCACAAUUACGCUACGACGUCGAUACGGUGGGUCAGAGCAUUGUCCUGACCCUGCGUUCGGUGCGGUUACGUCAGUAUUGAUUGAGUUACGUCACGGUCAGUUUGUUGCGUAGACGUCGCCGCCAGUGAUGCUACGCUAGAUAUUUAGGUCACUGUCAAUGCGGUUCGCUACAGCCGGAUUUUGUUUCUUAACGAUCGAUGCGGUGCGUAACAUCCGGACGUUAUUACAUUGUGUGAAGAUAUGACGAGAGUAUCGCGGUACCAACAUGGCGACAUUCAAUACGGUGUACACUGCAGAUGAUUAUCCUUCAGGAUUUGAACUAUAAUUUCUUUGUAUAUGUUUCAAUGAUUAUGUCCGCGUUAAUUAGUUUUUGACCAUGUCCCCUUUUUGAAUGAUUGAGCUGUUGUGUUUGUUGCAUGUUUGGCACAUGUAUGUCGCUGCACUCGUUGUACUAUUUUUGUCUUUUUGUUGGUGUGUUCCUUGCGCACAUUUAUGUGCAUCGUUGUAUUAUUUUUGUCUAUAUGGUUUGUUUUACCUUGCCUGGGUAUGGCAAGGGGUUUCUCACCAGAGUAGAAAC